AGUAGGUGCAACAACUUGCGCAUGCGCCUUUUAAGCUUUUACGCAUAGAGUCCUUUAGUUGUUCUUCCUGGGCACCCAACACUUUCCUGACAGACUAUUCUUUUAUUUAUUGCAGAUAUUUAAUAAGACACUUAGUGCGCAGAGUUCAAAGGAGAUCCGGUCAGUUCGACUUUGGACUCGCCCGAGGUAAAGACGCGGCCUUAGCAGCCCAGGCGUUGAUCGCCUUAGAGAAAGCGAACGACCCCAAGGGCGCUGGACGUAGGAAACGCCCCGAAGGAGACCAAUUCGAGUUUUAAGGCCCUUAAUUACUCACAAUAUAAAAUUUAUUAUUAAUAAAUUAUUGAAUUUUG